rnacentral:rRNA from 1 species
GACGAACGCUGGCGGCGUGGAUUAGGCAUGCAAGUUGAGCGACGAAUAGCCUUCGGGCUAUUACGGAGCAGCGAACGGGUGAGUAACACGUGAACAAUCUGUCCUCACGUUCCGGAUAAUUGGCCGAAAGGCCUUGUAAUACGGGCGAGGGUCCAGAAGGAGCAUUCCUUUUUGAAGGAAGGUGCGGGAUUAUCCUGCGCCGCGCGAGGAGGAGUUCGCGGCCUAUCAGUUAGUUGGUGGGGUAACGGCCUACCAAGACGACGACGGGUAGCUGGUCUGAGAGGAUGGUCAGCCACAUUGGAACUGAGACACUGUCCAGACUCCUACGGGAGGCUGCAGUCGAGAAUCUUGGGCAAUGCACGAAAGUGUGACCCAGCGACGCCGCGUGGAGGAUGAAGGUCCUCUGGAUUGUAAACUCCUUUUAAGAGGAAAGAACGCUCCUUCGGGAGCUUGACGGUACCUCUUGAAUAAGCCACGGCUAACUACGUGCCAGCAGCCGCGGUAAUACGUAGGUGGCAAGCGUUGUCCGGAUUUACUGGGCGUAAAGCGUAUGCAGGCGGAUGCCUAAGUAGGAAGUGAAAGGUUGGAGCUCAACUCUAACACUGCUCCCUAUACUGGGUGUCUUGAGUGCCGGAGAGGAAGAUGGAACUGCACGUGUAGCGGUGAAAUGCGUUGAGAUGUGCAGGAACACCAAUGGCGAAAGCAGUCUUCUGGACGGAUACUGACGCUGGGAUACGAAAGCCAAGGGAGCGAACAGGAUUAGAUACCCUGGUAGUCUUGGCCAUAAACGAUGCUCACUAGGUGUCGGGGGAUUCCCUCGGUGCCGCAGCUAACGCAUUAAGUGAGCCGCCUGGGAACUACGGCCGCAAGGUUGAAACUCAAAGGAAUUGGCGGGGGCCCGCACAAGCGGUGGAGCAUGUGGCUUAAUUCGAUGCAACGCGAAGAACCUUACCAGGGCUUGACAUGCACCUGCAAACGCCCGAAACGGCGUCGCCUUCGAGGGUGGUGCACAGGUGGUGCAUGGCUGUCGUCAGCUCGUGUUGUGAAAUGUUGGGUUAAGUCCCGCAACGAGCGCAACCCUCAUGUUCUGUUACCAGCGAGUAAUGUCGGGGACUCGGAACAAACUGCCUCUGUAAAGAGGAGGAAGGUGGGGAUGACGUCAAGUCAUCAUGCCCCUUACGCCCUGGGCUGCACACAUGCUACAAUGGCCGGUACAAAGGGGUGCGAAGCUGCGAAGUGGAGCAAAUCCCAAAAAGCCGGUCUCAGUUCGGAUUGGAGUCUGCAACUCGACUCCAUGAAGUCGGAAUCGCUAGUAACCGCAGGUCAGCAAUACUGCGGUGAAUACGUUCCCGGGCCUUGCACACACCGCCCGUCACGCCACGGAAGUCAGUCUUACCCGAAGUCGUUGUGCUAACCGCAAGGAGGCAGACGCCGAAGGUAGGGCCGGUGACUGGGACGAAGUCGUAACAAGGUAAAU